UAAUAGCGUAUACUUAAGUUGUUGCAGUUAAAAAGCUCGUAGUCGGAUUUUGGCUGAGAACGAUCGGUCCGCCGUUAGGUGUGCACUGAUUGGUCUCAGCUUCCUGGUGAGGAGGUGUGCUUCACGGCCACUUAGUCACCGUGGUUACUUUGAAAAAAUUAGAGUGUUCAAAGCGGGCUUACGCUUGAAUAUAUUAGCAUGGAAUAACACCAUAGGACUCCUGUCCUAUUUCGUUGGUCUCGGGACGGGAGUAAUGAUUAAGAGGAACAGUUGGGGGCAUUCGUAUUUCAUUGUCAGAGGUGAAAUUCUUGGAUUUAUGAAAGACGAACUUCUGCGAAAGCAUUUGCCAAGGAUGUUUUCAUUGA
rnacentral:rRNA from 1 species